GACAGAGGCCUCAAGCGUUAGGCGGAAUCACUGGGCUUAAAGCGUGUGUAGGCGGAUCGUUAAGUGUCUUGUGAAAUCCCACGGCUCACCCGUGGAACUGCUGGGCAUACUGGCGAUCUUGGGCCAACUAGGGGCAACUGGAACAAGCGGUGGAGCGGUGAAAUGCGUAGAUAUCGCUUGGAACGCCAACGGUGAAAACAGGUUGCUGGGGUUGUGC
rnacentral:rRNA from 1 species